rnacentral:SRP_RNA from 1 species
GCCAGGGGUGGUGGUGUGUGCCUGUAGUCCCAGCUACUCAGGAGGCUGAAGCUGGAGGAUCUCUUGAGUCCAGGAGUUCUGGGCUGUAGUGCACUGUGCCAAGUGAGUGUUCGCACUAAGUUCGGCAUUAAUAUGGUGACCUCCUGGGAGCGGGGGACCACCAGGUUGCCUAAGGAGGGGUGAACCAGCCCAGGUUGGAAAUGGAGCAGGUAAAACUCCUAUGCUGAUCAGUAGUGGGAUCACGCCUGUGACUAGCCACUGCACUCCAGCCUGGGCAACAUAGCGAGACCCUGUCUCU